rnacentral:rRNA from 1 species
CCUGAUCCAGCCAUGCCGCGUGAGUGAAGAAGGCCUUAGGGUUGUAAAGCUCUUUUGGCGGGGACGAUAAUGACGGUACCCGCAGAAUAAGCCCCGGCUAACUUCGUGCCAGCAGCCGCGGUAAUACGAAGGGGGCUAGCGUUGUUCGGAAUCACUGGGCGUAAAGCGUACGCAGGCGGAUUGAUAAGUCAGGGGUGAAAUCCCGGGGCUCAACCUCGGAAUUGCCUUUGAUACUGUCUGUCUUCGAGUUCGGGAGAGGUUGGCGGAAUUCCUAGUGUAGAGGUGAAAUUCGUAGAUAUUAGGAAGAACACCAGUGGCGAAGGCGGCCAACUGGCCCGAUACUGACGCUCAUGUACGAAAGCGUGGGGAGCAAACAGGAUUAGAUACCCUGGUAGUCCACGCUGUAAACUAUGGAUGCUAGCCGUUGGGGAGCUUGCUCUUCAGUGGCGCAGCUAACGUCUUAAGCAUCCCGCCUGGGGAGUACGGUCGCAAGAUUAAAACUCAAAGGAAUUGACGG